AGGUCAAGCUACUAAGGGCGUACGGUGGAUGCCUAGGCGCUAAGAGUCGAAGAAGGGCGCGGUUAACAGCGAAAUGCCACGGGGAGUCGUAAGCAGGCUUUGAUCCGUGGAUACCCGAAUGGGGCAACCC
rnacentral:rRNA from 1 species